rnacentral:rRNA from 1 species
AUACGGAGGGUGCAAGCGCUAAUCGGAAUUACUGGGCGUAAAGCGCGCGUAGGCGGUUUGUUAAGUCGGAUGUGAAAGCCCCGGGCUCAACCUGGGAAUUGCAUUUUGAACUGGCAAGCUAGAAUACUGUAGAGGGUGGUGGAAUUUCCAGUGUAGCGGUGAAAUGCGUAGAGAUUGGAAGGAACAUCAGUGGCGAAGGCGGCCACCUGGACAGAUCUUGACGCUGAGGAACGAAAGCGUGGGGAGCGAACAGGAUUAGAAACCCGGGUAGUCC